CCUACGGGGGGCUGCAGUGGGGAAUUUUGCACAAUGGGCGAAAGCCUGAUGCAGCAACGCCGCGUGUGUGAUGAAGGUCUUCGGAUCGUAAAGCACUUUCGACCGGGACGAACAACCUCUGGCUAACAGUCAGGGGCCUGACGGUACCGGGAGAAGAAGCACCGGCUAACUCUGUGCCAGCAGCCGCGGGAAUACAGAGGGUGCAAGCGUUGUCCGGAAUUACGGGGCGGAGGGCGGGUAAAGGCGGCGUGAAAGCCCUCAGCUCAACUGAGGAAGGGCGCCCGAAACUGGCGAGCUUGAGUGUCGGAGAGGAUGGCGGAAUACCCCAAGUAGAGGUGAAAUUCGUAGAUAUGGGGUGGAACACCGGUGGCGAAGGCGGCCAUCUGGACGACAACUGACGCUGAGACGCGAAAGCGUGGGGAGCAAACAGGAUUAGAUACCCGGGUAGUC
rnacentral:rRNA from 1 species